GAUCUUCGGGCGUUCCCCAGCUCAGAGAUGCGCAAGGUUUUGGCAAAGAGGAUGCUGCUGACCUUUAAGCUGUCUUUCCUGUAAUGAUGAGGCAUUCGUCAUAUGUGGCCUUUGUAUCUCUGAAAGAGAUGGGAGCUCAGCUAAGGAGCUAUAACCUGUCUCACUGGAAUAUCAAAGAAGGUGGGAGUAUUACAUCCCAGCGGGAUAUAGCAGGUGAAGAAACUGGAGCAGACAGCGGUUAAGUGACUUGCCCAGG